GACGAACGCUGGCGGCGUGCCUAAUACAUGCAAGUCGAACGCAGUGGGGACGGGUGAGUAACACGUGGGUAACCUCCCAUCAGAGGGGAUAACACUUGGAAACAGGUGCUAAACCGAUACUGAUGGAUGGACCCGCGGUUCAUUAGCUAGUUGGUGAGGUAACGGCUCACCAAGGCCACGAUUCAUAGUCGACCUGAGAGGGUGAUCGGCCACACGUGUACUGCGACAAGGCCCAGACUCCUACGGGAUGCAGCAGUAGGGAAUCUUCGACAAUAGACGAAAGUAUGAACGAGCAACACCGAGUGAAUGAAGAAGAUUUUCGGAUCGUAACACUCUGUUGUUAGAGAAGCGGUAUCUAACCAGAAAGCCACGGCUAACUACGUGCCGGCAGCCGCGGUAAUUC
rnacentral:rRNA from 1 species